UACGUAGGGGGCAAGCGUUAUCCGGAUUUACUGGGUGUAAAGGGAGCGCAGGCGGUACGGCAAGUCUGAUGUGAAAGCCCGGGGCUCAACCCCGGUACUGCAUUGGAAACUACCGGACUGGAGUGUCGGAGGGGUAAGUGGAAUUCCUAGUGUAGCGGUGAAAUGCGUAGAUAUUAGGAGGAACACCAGUGGCGAAGGCGGCUUACUGGACGAUCACUGACGCUGAGGCUCGAAAGCGUGGGGAGCAAACA
rnacentral:rRNA from 1 species